rnacentral:lncRNA from 1 species
UUCCAGAUCGCAGCCGCCACCUCCUACCCACCGUCCCACCCAUCCUCUGCACCUCCGCUCGUCGCGCCCUUCCUCCGCUGCUCCACCCCUCCGCCAUCGCCGCCCAGUACCCCUCCACCUCCUCGGUGCGCCGCAGUGCCCCGUCCUCCUCCUCCUCGGCAUGGCGCGGUGGCAAUGCCUCCGCCGGCCGCGGGGCCGCGGUGCGCGCGAGG